GUGAAUCAUCGAAUCUUUGAACGCAAAUUGCACUCCCUGGUAUUCCGGGGAGUAUGCCUGUUUGAGGAUCAGUGUAAAUAACAAUCGGUGUGGGUGCUGCCUUUCGUGGUGGCGGACCGGAUGUGGGUCGUCUUGGCUUCGGUUAAGUGACCUAAAAUUUUGUGUGAGUUUUUUCGAACGUAUUUAAA
rnacentral:misc_RNA from 1 species